ACAUUUAAAAUAUUAGAUCUCAGAACUUUAUCUCACUUGUAAUCACCUCAAAUUUAAAAAAAGAUAUACCAAAGCAGAUAAAAUGAGCUGCUGAUACAAAGAAAAGUUUGCUGCCAGGAAAUCAGUUCCAUGGGAUCAAUCUGCCUGAGGCCCAUCUUGACUUCUUCCAGCGCAGAGAGAUAAGAAAACUGACAUAUAGAAGAGUGAAAUGAGACAAAGAUUCCCAACAAAACUGGAAUAAAAAGAAAAUUGAAAAUAGAUACAAACCACUAUUGCUAAGAAUUGAUUCUGAAUAUUUCCCCUGAUAUUUAAAAGCAGCAAAUACCUCAAAGAAAGCAAGUCUCAAAGAGAAACCUGAAAAGGAUGUCUUUUUUACAAUGUUGUAAAGUGUAUUUACACAAACGACUCAGGGAAACGUAUUUGUAAAGAAAAUCUGUACUGUAAAAAGACCUCAGGGUAUGCCAAGAUCAUCUUAUCCUUUAACAAAACAGAAAAUUUUCAAGAAGGGGGCAAUCAUCAAGACUGUCAAGUAUUUCUAGACACUAAACCAAGAUAAGAACUAAGAAGUGCUCAUUUGAUUUAGUGAUACAGAAAUUGCAGAUUUCCUUGGCAACAACAAUUUCAAUGGAAUUGUUAGCAGGAAGAAGCCAGACUGCAAUGGAUUGAGAGGUGAGUGGGAGGUAAGAAAGAAUUCAUGAUGAGUGUAGAAAACUCUUUCAAAGUAUUUUGUUAUGAAUCAGGGUGAAAAAGAUAGUUAGAGAGGAUU
rnacentral:lncRNA from 1 species